rnacentral:snoRNA from 1 species
AUGCAGGGGGACAUUUGCUAUAUUAAGAUCACACAUGUGUCUCCAGACCUAGUUCUUUCUCUAGGUCUGGUUUUAUUUUAUUUUAUUUAUUUAU